CUGUCCACCACCACUAGCCACAAGAAUCUUCCUCUUUGGAUUAGGAGUUCGCAAGCCAGCAUGUUGCUUCACAUCAUUCUUGUGGAUGAUGACACCCAGAGGGUUCAGAUUGAAACUCUUCCAGAGAGGGUGGAUGAAUUGAAGACUUUUCUCAAGAGUAAGCUCAGUUUAGAGGGUGACAUUCACAUCCAGUUUCAAGAUCCAGAGUUCAGUAAUGAGCUGUGCAACUUGACUGACAUGUCUGAGCUACCCCCAGAGAGGCCAAGGCUGAAGAUAAUACUAAAGGCUCCACCCACUACACCCUCCUCUGUGUACUCAGUGGACACUAGUUCCUCUGACACAGCCAGUAUGUCCUCAAUAUUAUCAGUUUGUUCUCUGUCAACCCCUCGUUCCAAGCACCGGCCUGACCAUUUUGUCGUACCCUCUUUCACUUAUGAUGUUGAACUGAAGCUCAGAAAAGGAAAUGAGGCUUAUGAAAAAGAUGGUUCCCUCCUUGCUGUGACUGCUGCAAUGAAGAGAGACUUAGUUGACAGAGUAACAAGUGUUAUGUACAAGUGCAGUGCAUAUCCAACAUCAAAACAAAUUGAGGAUGUUGCCAAAGCCCUAGUUGAAAAGCAUCCCUGUCUGAGAGUUCUUCACAUGAAUGGUACUGCUGGAAGUUCAGCCUCACUUUUAAGAUGGGUAACCUCUGUCAGAAGUUCCGCAUCACUGGAUGUCCAGAGCUUACAGUCAAUUGAAAGAAGUCAACAGACACAUCAACUGGGAACAGGAAGCUGAAGAAAGCAAAACGGAGAUCGACUUCUUGCCAGAUAUUCCUGAAGAGAGGUCUCCAGACAGCCUUGAAAGUGAGAGAAUAGCUCUGACUGAGGAGAUGAAGAAAAGGAAAAGAGAUUGGAAAAUGGUUGAUUCCCUGAUGGAGAGCACCUUUGGCUUGCUAAGGAAGGAGAUUGUUGAUGAUGAGCCUCCUGUGUCUGAAAUUGAAGAUAGAUGGCCAGCAUUGUUCUCAGAAAGACAGAUUAGUGCAGAAUUCAUGCAGCUGGUUUCCACUGAUCUCCACCAGUCUUUCUUUGAUGGACUUGACAAGUACAUCCCAAGGCUGCUGGAAAUGUACAGAGUUAGAAGUAGAAGCAGUUCUGACCUGCACAUCCUGCUUCAGCCCCUUGAUGUACAAUCUUCAAACCAGAAGAGAAGAGCAACUGCUUUGCUUGGACUUCCUGAAGGAGGAUCCCUUCAAUUUAAUCUGUGCCUGCGAG